rnacentral:rRNA from 1 species
CCUACGGGGCGCUGCAGUGGGGAAUAUUGGGCAAUGGGCGCAAGCCUGACCCAGCAACGCCGCGUGAAGGAAGAAGGCUUUCGGGUUGUAAACUUCUUUUGUCAGGGAAGAGUAGAAGAUGGUACCUGACGGAUAAGCCACGGCUAACUACGUGCCAGCAGCCGCGGUAAUACGUAGGUGGCAAGCGUUGUCCGGAUUUACUGGGUGUAAAGGGCGUGUAGCCGGGUUGACAAGUAAGAUGUGAAAUCCUGCGGCUUAACCGCAGAACUGCAUUUGAAACUGUUGAUCUUGAGUACUGGAGAGGCAGGCGGAAUUCCUGGUGUAGCGGUGAAAUGCGUAGAUAUUAGGAGGAACACCAGUGGCGAAGGCGGUCUGCUGGACAGCAACUGACGGUGAGGCACGAAAGCGUGGGGAGCAAACAGGAUUAGAUACCCGAGUAGUC